GGUGAAAGCUGGCGGCGUGCCUAAUACAUGCAAGUCGAGCGAACAGAUGAGGAGCUUGCUCCUCUGACGUUAGCGGCGGACGGGUGAGUAACACGUGGAUAACCUACCUAUAAGACUGGGAUAACUUCGGGAAACCGGAGCUAAUACCGGAUAAUAUAUUGAACCGCAUGGUUCAAUAGUGAAAGACGGUUUUGCUGUCACUUAUAGAUGGAUCCGCGCCGCAUUAGCUAGUUGGUAAGGUAACGGCUUACCAAGGCAACGAUGCGUAGCCGACCUGAGAGGGUGAUCGGCCACACUGGAACUGAGACACGGUCCAGACUCCUACGGGAGGCAGCAGUAGGGAAUCUUCCGCAAUGGGCGAAAGCCUGACGGAGCAACGCCGCGUGAGUGAUGAAGGUCUUCGGAUCGUAAAACUCUGUUAUUAGGGAAGAACAAAUGUGUAAGUAACUAUGCACGUCUUGACGGUACCUAAUCAGAAAGCCACGGCUAACUACGUG
rnacentral:rRNA from 1 species